rnacentral:rRNA from 1 species
UACGUAGGGUGCGAGCGUUAAUCGGAAUUACUGGGCGUAAAGCGUGCGCAGGCGGCUUUGUAAGUCAGAUGUGAAAUCCCCGGGCUUAACCUGGGAAUGGCAUUUGGGACUGCAAGGCUCGAGUGCGGCAGAGGAGACUGGAAUUCCUGGUGUAGCAGUGAAAUGCGUAGAUAUCAGGAGGAACACCGAUGGCGAAGGCAGGUCUCUGGGCUGACACUGACGCUCAUGCACGAAAGCGUGGGGAGCAAAAGGG